CGGCGAGUGAAGCGGUAACAGCUCAAAUUUGAAAUCUGGCCUCACGGUCCGAGUUGUAAUUUGUAGAGGAUGCUUCGAGCAUGGUCUGGCCUAAGUUCCUUGGAACAGGACGUCAUAGAGGGUGAGAAUCCCGUAUGCGGCCAGGUGCCUACGCUCAUGUGAAGCUCCUUCGACGAGUCGAGUUGUUUGGGAAUGCAGCUCAAAAUGGGUGGUAAAUUUCAUCUAAAGCUAAAUAUUGGCCAGAGACCGAUAGCGCACAAGUAGAGUGAUCGAAAGAUGAAAAGCACUUUGGAGAGAGAGUUAAACAGUACGUGAAAUUGUUGAAAGGGAAGCGCUUGCAACCAGACUUGCGCGCGGCCGAUCAUCCGGUGUUCUCACCGGUGCACUCGGCCGUGCUCAGGCCAGCAUCGGUUUUGGCGGCUGGAUAAAGGCCCUAGGAAUGUAGCUCCUCUCGGGGAGUGUUAUAGCCUAGGGUGCAAUGCAGCCUGCUGGGACCGAGGACCGCGCUUCGGCUAGGAUGC
rnacentral:rRNA from 1 species